rnacentral:rRNA from 1 species
UACGUAGGGGGCUAGCGUUGUCCGGAAUCAUUGGGCGUAAAGAGCGUGUAGGCGGCCCGGUAAGUCCGCUGUAAAAGUCAAAGGCUCAACCUUUGAAUGUCAGUGGAUACUGCCGGGCUAGAGUCCGGAAGAGGCGAGUGGAACUCCUGGUGUAGCGGUGGAAUGCGCAGAUAUCAGGAAGAACACCAACGGCGAAGGCAGCUCGCUAGGACGGUACUGACGCUGGAGACGCGAAAGCGUGGGGAGCGAACAGG